rfam:Babesia bovis strain T2Bo apicoplast, complete genome, whole genome shotgun sequence.
UGGAAGGUCAUCUAAAGGAAAAGAUAAAGAUUUUUGAUAUCUUAAAUAAAGGUUAAAGUCCUUUCCUUCUAA